rnacentral:rRNA from 1 species
UACGAAGGGUGCUAGCGUUGUUCGGAAUUACUGGGCGUAAAGGGAGCGUAGGCGGUUUAAUAAGUUGGGUGUGAAAGCCCAGGGCUCAACCCUGGAAUGGCACUCAAGACUGUUUUACUUGAAUUCGGUAGAGGUUGGUGGAAUUCCCAGUGUAGAGGUGAAAUUCGUAGAGAUUGGGAAGAAUAUCCGUGGCGAAGGCGGCCAACUGGACCGACAUUGACGCUGAGGCUCGAAAGCGUGGGGAGCAAACAGG